rnacentral:snRNA from 1 species
AGAUAUAAGAGCAAAUCUGGCUGUGACAUCUGUCACCUCAUUGAUCUCCAGGAUUGAUUCAGCUGAUCUGGCUGACUAAGCAGGUAUCCCCUUCCUCCCUCAUAGCUUCCUGAAUGUACCUUCUGAAGUUGCACACUCCGUUGACGAAAACUAUCUUCCCCUAUAGAGGAGAGCUGAGGUUUGGUCAAGGGUUGCAGUAGCUACGCUCCCCUGGAACCUCCAAACAAGUUCUCUGGGUCGGCAGGAUACUGCACUGAUUCCUUCUUUCUCCCCACUCAAACACAAGCAGCUUAGAGGUGGAAGCCUUUCU